GUCUACGGCCAUACCACCCUGAACGCGCCCGAUCUCUUCUGAUCUCGGAAGCUAAGCAGGGUCGGGCCUGGUUAGUACUUGGAUGGGAG
rnacentral:rRNA from 1 species